CCUAAACAACAGAGCACAGUCGUUGCUGAACUGGAUGAAUGAACCUGUCUUGUAGUUGCUUCCUGGAGCAGCAUGAACAAACCAUCGCAGGACAGCUAAGUUGCAGGAAGAAAAAUGUGGAAAAACUAACAAGUGCGGGACUAAGGGAAUACAAUGAUGGAGACCAAGUACGUCUACUGAGUGGGAGGAGAGAUGAACAACGAUCCCUGAUUGUGGUUGUCUUAUGAGGGGAAUCCAUCAAGAGUGACACUGGAACAAAUAACAUUUGUGCAGCACAUGUGAGACUCAAAUUUAGCAUGUUUUUCUUCCAGAAAUAGUCACAUCUCAUACAAUAAGUUCUGUUAUAUAAACCCACAGCACUUAGGUGCAUAUUGCUUGCUAUUAGAAUAAAAAU